rnacentral:rRNA from 1 species
CCAAUAGCGUAUAUUAAAGUUGUUGCAGUUAAAAAGCUCGUAGUUGAAUUUCGGGGUUAGUAGGUUGGUCAUGCCUCUGGUAUGCACUGGUCUCACUGAUUCCUCCUUCCUGAUGAGCCGUAAUGCCAUUAAUUUGGUGUUGCGGGGAAUUUGGACUGUUACUUUGAAAAAAUUAGAGUGUUUAAAGCAAGCUAACGCUUGAAUACAUUAGCAUGGAAUAAUGAAAUAGGACGUUCGAUCCUAUUUUGUUGGUUUCUAGGAUUGACGUAAUGAUUAAUAGGGAUAGUUGGGGGCAUUAGUAUUCAAUUGUCAGAGGUGAAAUUCUUGGAUUUAUUGAAGACUAACUACUGCGAAAGCAUUUGCCAAGGAUGUUUUCAUUAAUCAAGAACGAAAGUUAGGGGAUCGAAGACGAUCAGAUACCGUCGUAGUCUUAACCAUAAACUAUGCCGACUAGGGAUCGGAUGAUGUUAAUUUUUUAAUGACUCAUUCGGCGCCUUACG